rnacentral:lncRNA from 1 species
CAUCAGAGACAUGGAAUGGAUAAUGAAUGAUAUUGAUUGUUAAUCUUUUUGUUAGGAUAAACUGGGGCACAACUGAGCCGACCAGAGCAGGUAAAAAUGAAGCAACGAGUGAGGUUUCAUUGCCAACCUGGGUGCAGGGUAACCUGAGGCACAGUGGAGCCUACCAGAGAGGCAAAAAUGAGGCAACGAGUGAGGUUUCAUUUCCAGCUUAGGCGCAGGGAAUCACAGGCCAAACAGCACACACUGACUUCAAGGACACAAAGGAGGCACCUCCGUGACCUGGCCCAGGGCCAGCUGGUCCAGAGGAUGGAUCCAGAACCCUGCCUGAGACUAUGACCUUCGCCUUGGGCAGCCUUUGCCACAGGAAGCUAGCCUGGGACAGCCUCCUCCUCACGUCCACCUUCAGAACAACUCAGAGGACUAGAAUAAAGUUCACCCUGCCUGCGCUCUGUACCAAGCUAAGCCAUCUAUGUAAUUAGCUCCUCGGUUCUAUAAACUCCUUGGGAAGCAGAUGCUAUGUUGUCCCCAAUUUACAGGCGAGGAAACUGAGGUAAGCAAGACUGAGCAUAAGGUCACAGGUAAAAAGUAGCAGCAGG